ensembl:lncRNA
UGUUUUACUGUAUUUUUGAUUAAUUAAAUGCAUGAGCAAUAGAGACAUCUUUCAAAAACAUAAAAAAAAAGCUUAAUUAUUCCAACUUUGGACUGGUAUGUACUGAUACACAGGAAUGUGUGUGUGUGUGUGUGUGUGUGUGUGUGUGUGUGUGUGUGUGUGUGUGUGUGUGUGCAGCCAAUGUUUUAGAAAUCACACAAAACAGAAUAAAAGAAGUAGCAUCGCUCUCUGGGUGACAAGAUUGGCUCCGGGAUAAGAGUGAUAAGAGAACAGGGGAUGGACAGAUUCUCACCUCUCCUUCUCCUGACAUCAAACUCAACAGCUUACUAUUCCAAGUUCAGAGAAGGGCAAGAAAAACAAAAGAGAAGAAAUGAAGUGGAAUGCAGGAGAAAUGUGGAAUGCAGAAGGAAUUUAGACAACAUUUUAACAUUAAUUCUGUUUUGAUGCAUUGAUUCAUCGUGCAGGCUGGCUGGUGAUAUACUGUAAUGUUAACAGGUAUGUUAACUAAUAACUCUCUUGAGUCAAGACAAAACAAACCACUCUGAAAGUUUGCUGGCAGGGCAUCAAAAUAUCAUGCAGAAAGUUUGUAAAUGUGUUAUUGCUGGCAAAAGUGGAGCUGAGAUAACAGAAAUGAUGGAUGGAUUGUCACUGCAUGUGAACUCAGAUCAGUGUGAGAUACAGUGUGGUUUAUUAUUAUUCAUCAGUCCAACUCUUCACUAUAAAAAAAUUCAGUGAGAGUUUCAUGUGACCUUUUAUUUAUGUAUAUGUACUGAAAUGUAUUAUAUGGCUUUCAUUUUUCAUUUUCACAGUGCAAAGAAAAUGAUACAGAUUUUGAACAACAUGAUGGUGAGUAAAUGAUGACAGAAUUUUUAUUCUUGGGUGAAAUAUUAACUAAUAAUGUUAGCUCACACAAUAUAUACCUGUUAUUUCCCAUACAAGGACCAGCAGGAAGUUGUGAUGCUGUCACAAUGCUGCUACCAUGGUAACGGCUCCUAUAUACUUGCUUGUGCAUUGUGCUAAUGCUGGUGCAAUCAGUCUGAGUUAGUGCAGUUUGGCAGAUGGCUCACUGCGCUGUAUUCCACGUGCACUCAACAGAUCAAUACAGCACCUCAUUACAGAGUCCAAAUCGAGAGAUAGAUCACACACCAGAUAAAGGUAGCGGAUUCCAGUGAGAGUUUAUAUCAAUGAUGAUCAGAUACUUUAAGUGGUGGUUUGAUUCCAGACCGUCAAGACUUGCUUGUCCAUUUUUGCAGCUGAAUUUAUGUAUUUUGGAAUACACUUGUCACUAUGAUAAGAAAAUGUGUGCCUAGAACAGCAGCAGGGGUGUUAAAUACAUGAGUGCUUCAUCAUUACAUACUAAAGUAUUAUUUUGUGGACUUUGAGUACUAUUUUAACAGAAUACUUGAACUUACUAAUUUGAUUUAAAAAAAAAAGUUCUCUUUAGACCUUAAAUUUAAUUUAAAAGUACACAUUUUGCAGGUCAUCACAACUUAAAUCCAACAAAGCCAACAUAUGUGUUUAUGAUAUAUAAUGCACGUUGUGUGUGCAUACUAAAAAACAAUUAUAUGGAAAAUAUAAAUAAAAUAUAAACUUUCUAAUAGCA